rnacentral:rRNA from 1 species
CGUGCAGGCGGGUCCGCAAGUCGGGUGUGAAAUAUCCGGGCUUAACCCGGAAAGGUCAUUCGAAACUGCGGAUCUUGAGUACUGGAGAGGACAGUGGAAUUCCUGGUGUAGCGGUAAAAUGCGUAGAUAUCAGGAGGAACACCAGUGGCGAAGGCGGCUGUCUGGACAGUAACUGACGCUGAGGCGCGAAAGCGUGGGGAGCAAACA